CUCUUAUCAAGAGCGGCGGAGGGACUGGCCCUAUGAAGCCCGGCAACCUGCCUGAAAAGGUAUGGUGCUAAGACCAGCGGCGAACGAGUUCGCCGGAUGAUGAGAG
rfam:Jonquetella anthropi DSM 22815 chromosome, whole genome shotgun sequence.